UUGGAGACCAUUUUUGGCUGCUACAGACAACUUCUCAAAUGCAAAUAAGCUCGGACAAGGAGGAUUUGGUCCUGUUUACAAGGUUAAAAUUACAAUCUUACAUCUCUGUGGACUGGUAUGGACGCACCACAUUGACCAAUAGUAAUGAGAUGAAAAACUUUUGGCAGGGCAUCUUUCCUUGCGAAAAAGAAAUUGCAGUGAAAAGGUUAUCUAGUCAUUCAGGACAAGGCAUAGAUGAAUUUAAGAAUGAAGUGACUCUAAUUGCAAAGCUUCAACAUCGAAAUCUGGUGAGACUACUAUUGGGCUAUUGCAUCAAUGCAAUGGAACAAAUUUUACUAUAUGAAUAUAUGCCACAUAAAAGUCUAGAUACAUUCAUAUUUGGUAAGUUUGCCAAGAUUUGUUCUUUAUUCUCAAGCUACUAUACUUUUGACAAGAUUUAAUUUUGUUAAUUGAUGUCAUUUUAUUUGUUCUAAUGAUAACUAUGCAAGAUGGAAAACUUUGCAAAUUAUUGGAUUGGAAGAAGCGCUAUGACAUCAUAUUGGGCAUUGGACGAGGUCUUGCUUAUCUCCACCAUGAUUCACGACUAAGGAUCAUUCAUAGAGAUUUAAAAACCAGCAACAUUUUACUAGAUAAGGAGAUGAAUCCCAAGAUUGCAGACUUUGGCUUGGCGAGGAUUGUUGAAGGAAAAAGAACAGAGGCAAAGACAAAGAAAAUAGUUGGGACCUAGUAAGUAUAACAUCCUUCCUAUCGAUCAUUUUCUCCUUUUGUUUUUGUAAAAUACAUCUAACACGUUUUCGACAUGGUGUAAUCAAGUGGCUAUAUGUCUCCUAAAUAUGCAUCAGAUGGUCUAUUUUCCAUCAAGUCAGAUGUAUUCAGUUUCGGAGUUGUCAUACUUGAGAU
rnacentral:lncRNA from 1 species